CUUAGUUGACGCGGAGGUGUUGCCCAUUGAGGGGUUUUGGUGACAAGGAGUCACUGAACGAAACGCUAAACCAAAUGAAAAAAAUAAUAAAAAAGGUAAUGCUAGGUACGACAUGAAGCUUUUGCUUUCGCAGGAAAUAAUUUGAAUUUGUUUGGAGCCAACGAUCCUUUAUAUAUCCGAGCCGAGUCCUUUCCGUCUACAUUCGGUGUGAAGAGCAAAACCCAAAUUUCAACCCAUUUCACUGAUUAGCAACGAAAACAAAGCGAGUGUCAAAACAUUGUUUUACUUGCGCAUACUUUAUUGUGGCAGAAACACGUUGGUCAUGUAACAGGGUGGAAUUUUUUUUCCAUUUUGUUCAUGCAGCAUCAAACGACACGAUAGGUUCCGGCGGUAAUCAACUAUUCAAGAUGGUAGACAUGUCAAUGUAAAAGACAGGGUAAGGGUAGCUCCUGUAAAUGUUAUUCAUUAAUGUAAAAAAGCUGCUAGUAGGAUCUCAUUGUUGAUUUGCGGUUACAAAAUCCAUAGCCCUAGAGUUCAGGUAAUGUCAAUCAAUCAAUUGAUUUGCGUUUUAGAUACUCCUAAAUAAGUUGUGGAAAUACGAUUCCCCCCCCCCCUUCUCCUGGAUGAUUACUAAGGAUCAUCUAAGUAUAUUUUUGAGUUAUUCGUUGUGAACGUAGCGGACGAACUCUGACAGUCUAUCGAGCUUUAGCAAUUGCGUCUAAUUUCUUAUUUUAUUGAUUUUAUUCAACCGUUUAAUGAGAAGCUUUGAUUUGUAUUUUUCUUUAUUAAUAAUUUACCUUUUUUCAUCUUUUUUUUUUUUUUAUUUUCUUCUCCGACCGCUUUGAGCCAAUGGAAAACCGAGAAGGUGAAAGCGGAAAGUGUUAAUGUUUUGCUCAAAGCUAAUGUGGAGGGUGCCACAUUAGUGUAAUGAGUUUUGGAAGACUACAAGGUCGCAUUGACCUUAAACAAUGGUUAAAAGAUUUAAACUGACCAUGUCGUCGCUGCUGUCGGUUGGGAUGCAAACAUGGAUUUGGCUGUUGCUUUUGGUUUGAAAAUAGAGGAGAGGAGAUUUUGGUGGUUAUCGAGUCAAUACCAAGCUUGAAGCAUGAUCGAACGUUUGUUUGGUUGGAGAUGUUGCGUUCUUUUGUGAUAUCAAAUUGGGUCGCUGUUGUAUG
rnacentral:lncRNA from 1 species